rnacentral:rRNA from 1 species
GACGAACGCUGGCGGCGUGCUUAACACAUGCAAGUCGAACGGAAAGGCCCUGCUCUUGUGGGGUGCUCGAGUGGCGAACGGGUGAGUAACACGUGAGUAUCCUGCCCUUGACUUUGGGAUAACUUCAGGAAACUGGGGCUAAUACCGGAUAGGAGCUCCUGCUGCACGGUGGGGGUUGGAAAGUUUCGGCGGUUGGGGAUGGACUCGCGGCUUAUCAGCUUGUUGGUGGGGUAGUGGCUUACCAAGGCUUUGACGGGUAGCCGGCCUGAGAGGGUGAACGGCCACAAUGGGACUGAGAUACGGCGCAGACGCCUACGGGAGGCAGCAGUGGGGAAUAUUGCACAAUGGGCGGACGCGUGAUGCAGAAACGCCGCGUGCGGGAAGACGGCCUUCGGGUUGUAAACCGCUUUCGCCUGAGCCGAAGCGUGAGUGACGGUAAUGGGUAAAGAAGCACCGGCUAACUACGUG